GGGCGGGGAAGCCGCCCGGGGCUGAGCGGGGCCGCUUCGGAGGGAGGCGGCGCAGGUCUGCAGCCCCUGCCGGCAGAGGCGGCACCUCCGGGCCCGCCGGGAAGUUGCCGGACUGAAGCCUGGGGCUGCCGCAGGCUGCGCAGGCAGCUCCCGCCGCCACCCCGCCCCCCCGGGCGGGCGCAGCCCGACCCCACGACACCUGGCCCGGGGCAGGCGCGGCGCUGGGGGCGGCCGGGCCGAGGGGGGCGGGAGGCGGCCGGGCGCCCCGCGGGCGAGGCCGGUGCAGCGGGCGGCAGAACGGUCCCGCCGCCGCCUCAGGCCCCGCCGGCGGGCACAGCUACCCCCGCUCCCCCCGCCGAGCCGGGCCGGCCCCGCCGCGGCGCAGCCUGGCAGCUCCUGGGCACCGAGGCGUCAGCCCGUCCUGUCCCAGCCCGUCCUUGGCGCAGCUGGAGCAGGUUCUCAGCGGGGAAGGAGAAAGUCUCACAAAGAGCACCAGGGACAUCCCAUCGGGACCUCACGACCUCAGUCUUUGUUCACCAACUUCUUCCUGUCCAGCUCUGUCAGGUUGUCCAAAAAAAUCCAGAAAAUUAAGAUGAGUGACACAGCAAUGAAGCCUUUAUUCAGGUCCUCGCCAAUCUUACACCAAACAGCCUCGCACCUUCAAGAUCUGUCCUGAAAUGUUGCCCAUCUGAAACGCAGCUGUGGGUUUGUACCCACUUCAGGUUCAUUUUGAGACAUCAAAAAGGUUUUGGAGAUUUUUGUCCUUCAAAAAUAGCCUUUUUUUGUUGUUGUUUUAAAUGUAUCAAUAAAUAUGAAGCUACGCAGUGUUAGGGAAGUUUCUUUACCUUAGGUAUCCUCAAGCAGUGUCUCAGUCAUUAAUUCCAGAAAUUUCUCUAAAAUAGUUCAUUUAUUUGUAAGGUACAGCAGAGAGCAUCUAGAUCUGGGUCCCUCACACCAGGAAAAGUCUAUGAGUUCCUUUAUUCACCAAAGUUAUGUCAUUACUAAAAUCAAGAGGAAACAGCAGGGGCACCAAGUAUGGGAGGGCAAAUACAGAUAGGGCAUGAAAACAUUUUCACGUGUUCUUUUUGUUUGUUAGCAGCGGCUAUUGCGGCUAAUUAGUGUUAUUCAUGACAGGUUAUUUUUGCAAAACAAAUCUCCAUGAGUUCAAAUUAGAGUGCAAAAACAUACAAUGUGCAAAUGAAUAAGGACGUCACAGACACCAGGAAUUUUGACAUUCUUGAAGUAUCUGAAGUAAUUAAAAUUAAAUUGGGUCUUCAGUUUUUAUUCUGUGAAGGAAAACCAGAGCCUAUGCAGAAUGGCCUUAAAGCCCAACACUUUCCUGAAGCCUUCUGUUACCAUGUGGCCCUGAAUACUUCACUGGUGCUUUGCUCCAUAUGCAUUUGAACUAUUAGCCUUUGCAUUGUAUAUGAGUCAAGAUACAAGCUCCCUGGAGCAGCAGCCUUGUCCUUCACAUGUUUGCAAUGUGCCAGGCAUAUAGUGCAUUACAAGUACCAAUGACUGAGAGGAUAUGCUGGUUUUCCCAAGUGCAAUACAAACACAUCUCAUCCCAUACGCUGGGAGAAAUGAGCUGAUAUUCAUAUACUUUCUGUCAAGAAAACAGGGCAUUUCUGGGUUUCAUAAUUUUCAAAUCUAUGUAAUGCACACAUACAACCUUCAGCAGUUUCUUCUCAAGAUCGCUGCAUAAAGUUUUGUGAUUGUGAUGACAUUUGUGACUACAUUUUAUAUUAAGCUGAUAUAUUCAAUUAAUCAUUUGUUUAAUUUUGACAGCAUUUGGAGGUAUGUUAGAGCAAUGUAUACGUGGCUAAUAUAUACGUGGAACAGUGCUUUCUUGGUUAGAAUGAGUUCGAAGCUAUAGAGUGAAUAAAUCAAGGCUCAGAGUUCGAGGGCAAGGACGUGGGGAGAGCUGGAGUCUUAUCCCCAUUAGUGUGCUGAAUUUCUGACUGGUAACUGUUUCAGCGGUGGGUCCUGAGGACAUCCCCAAUGAGAACAGCCCUGUAGUUUUUAAUUACAACUUUGUGCUUGCUGAAGUACGGCAAAAUUGUGGCUGUGACUAGAUAGCAAAUAGGGCAUGACAGAUGUUAAAAGGUGUAGUGUUUGAUACCUAGUGUUACAUGAUAGCUAGUGAAACCUAGUAUUUAACAGUAUCUAAAAAGAUCAGAAAUUUCUCAAAUUCUGGUCAAGACUAGGCAAAUUGUAAUUUAAUGUAUGUCACUCAUUAGAGAAAAGAGGCUGUAAAUUGAUUCAAUUAAUCUAUGGUAAAGUACAAUCUGUUUUGAGCAGACCUUUCAAAAACAUCAGUGAGAGCGAGAUAACUUUCUAAAAACACCCUGCUAAAUUAUAGAGUAGAAAAACACCAGCUUUCUCUGCUCAGAAAAAGCUAUCUCAUCACACUUCCUUGCUUUCCUGCUUCUUUUUUACCUUGCCUCUCUCCAGACAGGUUUCUUCUAAACUUUCUCUUAAAAGUGUAGCAAACUUCCUUUAAACAGACUUGGUUUGUCACAACCAAAGCCAGUUUGCUGUGUACUUUGCCCUGGGUCACCAGAUGAAAUAAGCAAUACUGCCUAGAGGCUCCUUGGCCAUUUGAAUUAUUUCUAGGUAGGAUUUCUGACAGCUAACGUUAGAUGAAAGUAUCCAUCAACAGCAGUGCUCUACUAGAAGAGUUCGGAAGUCUAAACAAGAUGUUAGGCUUGUAUACUUCAGUCCACUAUCGUCCACCAUAAUUUUUCCCUUUUUAUUCCCCUUUCACCUUACAGAAGUUUAAUAGUCAUUAAGCUCUAAGCGUCCCCUUGUUCUCUCAAGUCUUUUCUGUAAAAUACAGUGAAAUUCUCACUCAUCUUUAUCUGAUGACCUUGUUAGCGAGGUACUUCUGCCAUAUUGUUGUGACCCAGUAUUUUCAAACGUGGUUAAUUAUAUUGGAUGCCCAAGCUCAUGCACAGAGCCAUCUGUCAGGGGCAGUUAAGAAAUGUCUGAAAGUCAUUGACCUCAAGUCAGGCACCAAGUGUCUCCAGCACUGAACAGCAUCACAGCCGUGACUGAACAUUUUUGGCUGUGAUUCACUUACCUGAGUGUGCCUAGACUGUGACUGUGAAAUGAAAACCAUUCAAAGUUUGUCAUCAAACUCAAGUGUGACAGAAAUAGGCCUGUGACAGGACCAUCCCAUCUGCCUAACACCUCAGUUUCUGGACUUUUACAUUGCCUUGCAUAUUGCUGGGAAAGAGUACAUGAAAAUGGGUGUUUUUUUCAAAGGUAACUGAUGAUUAGUGCAAUUAUAUCAGGGGAAAGUGUGGGAGGAGCAUGCACAGAACUCUACAGAUUUGAUAUUGAUGGGGAAGAAGUGGGGUUUUCCACUUCAGUCCCUCUGCCGGUACAGAGGGCUGGAGGAGGAAGAGGGAAGGGCUGUACAGGGGUUCAGGUACACUCAGCGCACACCCUGCACUGGUUUGGUAAUGAGAAACAAGGAAGUUUCAGCAGAAAUUCUGUGGGCACUGCCCUGUAGAAGGUAGCUGGAAAUGCAGGUGUGGAAGAGAUAAGUGGAGAAUUCCUGUCCAAUUCCCCUCCCUUUGUCAGAGCGAGCCACAUGGCUGGGAAAACAGCCUCAGGGAUACCGGCUGCCAGAUCUGGAGUGAGAGAAGGAGGGUGGGGAGUUUCUCUGUGUUCUGUUUUUUGCUUUGGAAGCGGCAUUUCUUGAGAAGACCUGCUGAGUGUCCCACAAAUACCUGACAGGCACUGAGAGAAAAUGGCUAGGUGCAUUGGUGAUGUUUUUUCAGUAUCCAACUUCAUGUUAUUAAUGUUCUGCUGGGCUUUGAUUUUAAAAGAAAAAUGUAUUCUAUAACUCAACUAAGCAUAUAUUGAUGAAAGGGGAGAAACUAAGUUUAGGCGUAAGUCCUGUGCUCUGAUCCAUUGAAGCAGAUUGUCAUGUUUGUGUGGAUCCGGUCUUACCAUCACAAGAGUAAGCAAGGUAUGCUGUGUGUUAAACACUAAUAUUCAGAAGCAGUUUUCUGGGGUCUGAGAAUGACUUCAGAACAGCUAUUAGGCAGGGAGACUGUAGUCUGCCCAGAAAUAGAAUAAACAUGUUUUACAUGUGUGUAAUGUGAUUUUAACAGUGUAACUAAGGCACUGAAAAGCAGGUUUUAAUAGUGUAGUAGUAUAAUUGCAUAAUUAAUGUUCUUUAUACUAUUGCUGAAAUAUACUUUGAGUAUUGUUUAUUUUACAUACCUGUAUUUCCUUAUUGUCAAAAUAUUUUGUAUUACAAUCCAUAAUACUACAGGAAGUACAUCUGGGAGUCCGUAGGAGACUCAGAAAAUAUCAUAGGAUGUCUUCAAGGUGUAUUUUCUCAUUCCUGUUGCAAUUUCUUGUCUCUUCUCAGAUUUUGUAUUUUCAUUAAUUGAUUUAUCUUUUUAAAUAAAAAAAUAUGUUCUUAAGUAGCCAA